GACGAACGCUGGCGGCGCGCCUAACACAUGCAAGUCGAACGGAGCGGAGAGAAGCUUGCUUUUCUUAGCUUAGUGGCGAACGGGUGAGUAACGCGUGAGUAACCUGCCCUGGAGUGGGGGACAACAGUUGGAAACGACUGCUAAUACCGCAUAAGCCCACGAUCCGGCAUCGGAUUGAGGGAAAAGGAUUUAUUCGCUUCAGGAUGGACUCGCGUCCAAUUAGCUAGUUGGUGAGGUAACGGCCCACCAAGGCGACGAUUGGUAGCCGGACUGAGAGGUUGAACGGCCACAUUGGGACUGAGACACGGCCCAGACUCCUACGGGAGGCAGCAGUGGGGGAUAUUGCACAAUGGGGGAAACCCUGAUGCUGCGACGCCGCGUGGAGGAAGAAGGUUUUCGGAUUGUAAACUCCUGUCGUUAGGGACGAUAAUGACGGUACCUAACAAGAAAGCACCGGCUAACUACGUG
rnacentral:rRNA from 1 species